CAGAGGAGAAAGAGGCAGACACGUAUUCAUGCCCUCUCUGUUGUAACAACAGAUCCGAGGUGUAUUCACUGCCCGGAAAACAUUUCUGCCACUUUGGAAAGUGGUGACGUUUGUGCAGUUGCGGGUUUGACAUUGUGCUGAGAUUUACCAGGAGGCACUGGCAACGGCAAGUGUUUGCAGUUGACGCGUGCUUUGGAAACAGGUCUCGGUGGAUUACACAGUGAUUUUUGAAGCUCCCAAACUUAUUGGGAUGUGACGUGGCCAGAAGACAGCACAGCAAGUGGGAUGUUUUAUUAUUCUAACUUUCUUGUGGAUGCCUGAGUGCUGUUUCCCAUGUGUAGGUUUUCUCCAGCUAUUCCAUUUUACUACCACGUGUAACAAACAUGACAUGAACAUUGUUCAUGCAUUACUUUAUUCAUGCACUACAUUUUAACAAAAUAAUUUACAUACAAUCCUAAUCACUCCGGAUCAGACAACAUUACUGACUUGGCUAAUCCAUGGAAAUGUAGAUUGGAUCGGAUGAAAAUCAACCAUAUUUUAUAUACACGAACCUACAUUAUCGUAUGAAAAUGACCCAGAUUACUCCCCUCACAGAUAUGGGGUAAGAAAAGUGGUUUUAGGCACUACACUCAAAGUACUUAAAUUUAAUUUAGAUUUUAUGAAGAGCCUGCGUUAAAUGCUAUGCUUAUGCAUGUAAACGUGUUAACUCAUUGAUCAGAAAAUCAUUCCCAAUCCAUUUUUCCUCAUGAUCCAGCCCAGGGCAGGUUCCAGAUUCAACUCUGAUGAAUCCAUCCAUUUCUACUUCCUCUGCAUGCAUCAUCUUUGCACUGUAUUUGCACUGUAUGUGCACUGUAUUUACACUGUAUUUGCACUGUAUUUACAAGGGCACAAUAGACAGAGGAAGGAAGCCCUGUUGUUUGGGUUUGAUGAACAACAUGUAACCUAUUUAUUAAAACAAUACAUUAAAGGUGCAGCCAUGCAACUACUUGCUCAAGAAACUACUGGGGGAAGAGCCUCCACUAGAGGGUAUAUUUUCGGCCUACUCUUCUAGGCUGUUCAGAUGUCCUGAGAGGGGUGGCAAUACCCACACUUCAACCCAUAACGUACGACCUGUCGCUCAACUGCGGUGCAUCGUUUGAGUAAUUAGUUGUUCAUUUUGUAAAAAAAAAUAACUUGCUUGAAAACACAAAAUUGGCAUUAUUUCCUAACUCCAUCUCUUUCAAUAUACUUAACGUAUGUAUUUUGAAUUUAUUUUGCACCGUACGUAGCCAACUGUGCUAAUUGGAGGUGCGGGGGGAAGGACAACAAACGAAACAUAAAAAGCAGCUCUAAGGAAAUUCGUUUUCAAUCUAGAUUUCAAAGUGCAUAUCUCCAGUGGCUUCCUAAUAUCGGAAGGAAAAUGAGGAGCACCAAAGCUUGCUUUGAUUUUUGACGUCAAUGUCCAUUGGACAAUCGAGGCCAUUAGCACCUUCCAAUGUGAUCCCCCCGAGUUUUUU